UCCUCCGUUUCACAAUAUAAGUCAUUCUAGCAUUUCCCACGUUUAUAUUGAUGUUAAUGAAUCUGGACAUAUGCCUAUCUAGAUUCAUUAACAUCAAUAUGAAUGUGGGAAAUGCUAGAAUGACUUACAUUGUGAAACGG
rnacentral:misc_RNA from 1 species